ACUCCUACGGGAGGCAGCAGUGGGGAAUAUUGCACAAUGGGCGCAAGCCUGAUGCAGCCAUGCCGCGUGUGUGAAGAAGGCCUUCGGGUUGUAAAGCACUUUCAGUCGUGAGGAAGGUAGUGUAGUUAAUAGCUGCAUUAUUUGACGUUAGCGACAGAAGAAGCACCGGCUAACUCCGUGCCAGCAGCCGCGGUAAUACGUAGGGUGCAAGCGUUGUCCGGAAUUAUUGGGCGUAAAGAGCUCGUAGGCGGUUUGUCACGUCUGCUGUGAAAAUCCAAGGCUCAACCUUGGACUUGCAGUGGGUACGGGCAGGCUAGAGUGCGGUAGGGGAGAUGGGAAUUCCUGGUGUAGCGGUGGAAUGCGCAGAUAUCAGGAGGAACACCAAUGGCGAAGGCACAUCUCUGGGCCGUAACUGACGCUGAGGAGCGAAAGCGUGGGGAGCGAACAGGAUUAGAUACCCUGGUAGGUCAGU
rnacentral:rRNA from 1 species